rnacentral:rRNA from 1 species
UACGUAGGUGGCAAGCGUUGUCCGGAAUUAUUGGGCGUAAAGCGCGCGCAGGUGGGAUAUUAAGUCUGGUGUUAAAGUUCGGGGCUCAACCCCGUGAAGCAUUUGGAAACUGAUAUUCUUGAGUGCAGGAGAGGAAAGUGGAAUUCCUAGUGUAGCGGUGAAAUGCGUAGAUAUUAGGAGGAACACCAGUGGCGAAGGCGACUUUCUGGACUGUGUCUGACACUGAGGCGCGAAAGCUAGGGUAGUGAACAGG